rnacentral:hammerhead_ribozyme from 1 species
GUACUGAUGAGGAGUCCCAGUCUAGGACGAAACACUUUUCCAGUAC